GCGGCAAUCGCUCAGUAGUAGAGCCCCCGCUUCGUGUGCGGGAGAGACCCGGGUUCGAUUCCCGGCUGCUUCC
rnacentral:tRNA from 1 species